AUACUUACCUGGCAGGGGAGAUACCAUGAUCACGAAGGUGGUAAGGUGGUUUUCCCAGGGCGAGGCUUAUCCAUUGCACUCCUGACCCCUGCAGUUUCCCCAAAUGUGGGAAACCCGACUGCAUAAUUUGUGGUAGUGGGGGACUGCGUUCGCGCUUUCCCCUA